rnacentral:lncRNA from 1 species
GCACACAACGACCUAUGCUCGAUAAACAUUGUCGUCCUUGGUAACAACGUAUCAUUUGGUCGCGAACAGGUUUAAGGACUAAGCGACAAAUCCUCCUUUAUCGAGUCUAAAUAGUCCUAAGGACUUCACCACAACACAGGAGUUCAUUAGAAGAUGAAAUAUUUGUGAUGAAAAAAUAUCAAAAUAACUUUUAUUUAUUUAUAAUUCAUGUACUA